rnacentral:lncRNA from 1 species
GGUUGUUGCCAUGAUUAUAGAGGAUCCUGAACCAAAGUCCAUGGUAGAGUGCCAGAAGCGCUUAGAUUAGAUCAAAUGGAAAGAAGCAAAAGAGACAAAAUUGUGCUGCUUUCAAAGAGGCAAGUAUUUGGGCCUAUCGGUCGCAUGUCCCCUAGAAUUACCCUAGUCGGGUUCAAAUAGGUAUUCAUCUGAAAUAGGGAUGCAGACAAUGUGGUGGUGAGAUACAAAUCGAGGCUUGUAGCAUAAGGAUUCACGUAGAGACUCAACAUCCGUAUUGUCUCGAGGUUCAUGUCGGUGUGGGGCAAGUCUUCUUCAACAAUCUAUCUCCCAUCCAUCAUCGAAGAUGAAGGAAACAAUGACGCCUAAGAGGGGUGGGGUGAAUUAGGACUUCUAAAAACUAUCUCUCUAAACUAGACACAAAUAAAUCCCUAGAACAAACCCUAUGCAAAUAACUUAACUAGAUUGUGCAAACUAGGUUUUGUCUAUGUGUUGUUAUAUCUACCGCAAAAGGAGUCAUUCAACCUAAGUUCCAAUCCUAUAUGAUCUACACUAAGAAUAGUAAAGAUUACAACUUAAGUAGAGAGAGUAAAUGCGGAACAUUAAAGAACUAGUAGAGAAAGCAAACUCUCGUGGACGUCGCCGGUAUUUUUACCGAAGUAUCAGAACCACGCAAGGUCCCGACUAAUCCUCGUUGGUUCCCCUACACAAAGGGUAGCCCACACCAAGGCCAAGCACCAUGGUCGAGUAACUCCGUAGAGAAUCACAGAUCUCCACGUGCAAGUGGUGCUUCGCUUUUGGCUCCUCUCAGACGCUCCCCGUUGUCUCCACUAUCGAGCUUCCGGCUGAAAAGUCGCGGGCUUCGAUCCCCCUGGUACACAGUGGUGGCCAUGUCACAAACACAAUUAACACGGUCUCACAAGACUUUCACCCCACAAGGUACAAUAUUACAACGGCUCGCGCAAGAGUCGGGGGGUAUAUGAAAGGGAAAUGUGCACCUGUAGAACAUAAUUUCUAGAGCAAACUAGUUAGUCCAAUAAUUUGUGUUGGGCAAUUCAACCACCAAAAUUCAUAUUGGAAAAGGUUUGACCCUAUUUCCCUUUCAGGUAGAAAUUAAGGCCAAAGCAAAUGGAUCAGCCAAUCACUUGUGAAUUUUGAAAAUAGUAGAGUUAGAAUUUGUAUUUUGCCAAAAUGACUUCUAUUGCAAAAUGUGGACUCUUCGGAGGGAGAAAUUUGAUUACAAGAACAAGGGGGAGUUUUGGCACUUGUUCUAUUUCACUCUUGGAAAAUAUCUCUAUUUGCCCAAACAAGCGUGUUUGACUUAGAAAUAGGGAAAAGAAUUUGAUUUGCAAAAAACAAACCAAGUGGUGGCAAAGAGCGAUACAAAUAUGCCAAAUCUUAAGUACAAAGAAUUCGGUCUUCAUUUGCAUUGAUGUUGCACUUUUCUUGUUGCUUUUUAAUGUGUUGGCAUGAAUCACCAAAAAGGGGGAGAUUGAAAGGGAAAUGUGCCCUUGGGCCAUUUCUAUAAGUGUUUUGGUGAUUAGAUGCCCAACACAUAGUGAUUGAGAUCUUCUGAGUGAGAAGUGCAAAUCGAACAACAAGGUAUGUUUCUAGACUUAGUAAAUUGUUUUUGAAUACUAAUGUGUUUAUCUAAGUGCUAGAAACAGUGACAAGAAAAGGAGACUUGAAUUAGAGAAGAGUUGGCUGAGUAAAGCCAAAACUAGCUCGGGCCUGGCACACCGGACUGUCCGAUGGUGCACCAGACAGUGUCCGGUGCACCAGGCUAGUCGACGGUGAACUGGCUGCUCUCGGGAAAAUCACCGGGCGACUUUGUUAAAAAUCACCGGACUGUCCGGUGGAGCACCGGACUGUCCGGUGCGUCAUCAGCGCUCGCGCCCAAGUCUUCGGCGACGAACUCGUCGCUCUCGGGAAUUCACCGAGGACGCCACGGCUAUAAUUCACCGGACUGUCCGGUGGUGCACCGGACUAUCCGGUGAGUCAGAACCGUCCGAGCCAACGGUCAACAACGAAAUCUGCGGGCCGACACGUGGCCGAGCCAACGGUCGGUUGGGCACACUGGACUGUCCGGUGUGCACCGAACAGUGUCCGGUGCGCCAACGGGACCGCCGGCUCAACGGUCGGAUACACCAGAAAACGGAAGAGAUCGCGCACCGGACAACUACAGUACCUGUCCGGUGGUGCACCGGACUGUCCGGUGCACCACUCGACAGAAGGCAGGAAUUGCCUUCCAAGUUGAUCUUCAACGGCUCCUAGCUGCCUUGAGGCUAUAAAAGGGACCCCUAGGCGCAUGGAGCAAAAUACGAAGCAUUCUCUAAGCAUUCUAAGACUCCCAGACUGUAAGGCCCCAAAAUUUAUAUAAGAAAAAAUAAUAAAAUAAAUAUAUGAAGAAAUAAAAUAGCAAAUUCGGGUAUCUAAACUUAUACUUGAGCAAUGAAUGUGAGGAGUGAAUUUUGAAAACCAAGAACUAUUUUAGAAAAAGAGUAAAAGGAAUUUUUUUCUAAUCAACUAAAUAACUAUGCAUUUCAUGAAAUAAUGCACCAUAAGCAAUCACUUUCAUGAAUAUUUAAUUUUUAAGUAAUUUUAAAUUCAUGUCCCAUAAUGAAAAUACCAUUUUCCUAAAAAGAAAGGAACCUUAUGAGUGUGACCCAUAUUUCAAACAUUUAUCAAAUAAAUAAAUCAUUAAUAUAUAUAUAUAUAUAUAUAUUGCUCCAUAAUUGAUUGAGUAUGUAUUAAGUUUGAAUUAUUAAACUAUAUCCUAAAUUAGAAUUUGGAAUCUGAAUUUUGAAAGUCAAAAAGGAAAUAAAUGAGAAAUGAAGGAAACAAAAAUAAAACUAUACAAGAUAAAACAAAAUAUAUGGUUAAAUAAAAUAAUACCAUACUAGUAUGUUUAUUUUGUAAUUUUAAUUUGAGUGCAAGUUCACAUUUAAAUUUGAAUUCAAAAUUUGAAUCAAAAAGAUUAGAUAAGGAGAAUAGAAAAUAAAAAGAAAUAAGAAAAUAAAAAGAAAAGGGGGUGAAAGCUGCGUGGGCCAAGACCUAAAUUCGACCCACUCUACUCCCAAGCCUGCACAGCCCACCCCUCAUCUCCACUCCGCGGUGUCCCUGCCAUGUGGGCCGCGUCGCCAGUCUCCUGGCUCACGCGCGCGCUCACCAGGCCACUACCCGUGGGCCCCGUUCCGCAGAGCCACGCGCACUCUUGUCUCCCUGCAUGUGGGGCCACUCCAUCAGCACUAUCCCUAUCAACCCGCCGAUCUCUGCACGCGGCAAGAACGGAUCCCAGCCGUGUUUCUCGCCACCCGCGCGGACUCGGCUUUUCCCCUAGCUAGCCACUCUGCUCUUUCGCUCGCCCCUUCAUCAAUCACCGCUAGGUGGGCCCAUAACCCACGGGUCCCGAGUCCGUCUUCUCCACCGCGUGAUGCUCCGGUCGCAGCAGAUUCCGCGCGCGGACGAAGGAGACCCCUAUUCCGCCAGAGCUAGCGCAACUACCUACCCCUAUAUAAGCUAGUCGCGACCCUCUGCCACCUCCCUCACAUCGCCUGGGAAGUUGGGUGCGCCUCUCACCGAGCAGCGUAUAAUCCUCAUCGGUGCUAGCCAUGAGAAAUCGCUGAGAUCCGCCACCAUCAUCAACUGUGGCAUACGUCCUCAUUUUGGGCCCGAUUGACAGCACAAGGGUUACAUCGCGUCCCCUGGUGGGUGCACAUGGGAUCACCGGGCGCAAUCGGGGAUCGUUAAAGCUCAAAUUGCUCGUCGGAGUGUUUCCUCGCUUUGGAUCCGCCGCUGUGUCGUGGGUGGCAUCACUGGUGUGGCAAACUGUGGUAAGGACCCUUCCAAUCAACUCGCCUUCACCUUCUCCUCGUGUAACCACCUGUGUAGCAUGUUUUGGGGGCCUCGCGUGCGGGUUGGCCGGCUCCGACGAUGGUCCGUCGCGGGGGGCAAUGGCGUGUCGCCGUGGCUCGGUGGUGGGCUGGGAAAGGUCUUCGGACCGUUGGAUCUUACACCAACGGUCACGAUUAUGUUGUUUGCCUACCGCUUCGAGUAGUUGAUCUGGGCCGUCGGUUUGAUCGGGUGGCCAGGAGUGACCCAUGGUGUAAUUAAAUCAUGUCCGUCCGUGUGGGAUCGGAUGGCUACAGUUUCAUACCGCUUCACUUAAGAUCGGAUCUAAUCAGAGCCCUCGAUUCUGGAUCGUAUGGCUGAUGUCCUCUCGUACCCCUUCACCCAAGCCUUUUUGCACAUGAGCCCCUGAUUAAAGUAGGAAUUAACCCGCUGUCCACCCUAGGGUUGGGCUGAGUCUUAGGAAUUCUUGCGCAGACGUCCCUGGGUUCUCUGUGUAUUAUGCGCGCAGACCAGAGGCAGAGGAAUUAAUUUCAGAAAUGAUUUUAAUGUGAAAAUAAUUAUUAAAACAUGUUUAAUCCCUAGAAAAUUCAUACUAAGUCCAAAUUAGUCAAUUCCUGUUCCUAUAAUUUUAUAAUAUUAUUGUUUAUCUAAUAGUGCCACUGAUUUGACAUGGAAGCCACUUUAAAAUUUAUUUCCUAAUUAAACCCAUAUCAAAUAUAUAAAACCUUAGGAAAAUCAUAACUCAUUCGUUUUAACUCCGAGUUGAUCCGUUCAAGUUGCGUUAGUCUCGUAUGAAUAUUUACUAUGCAAUAACAACAUUUAUUAUACCAUAUAUCAUUAUUUUAUGAUUAGGUCUUUACUUAAAUUAUGUUGGUUAGUCUUGUUAAUGUGCUCAUCAUUAUCUACUAAAAUAUGAUCUAUGGUCAAUUUAUAAUUGAAAGCUCUCUUGUGGGUUUUGGUGUUUGGGAUGACAACCCAAUUAAAGGACUAACAAGUGUGUUAAGUGUUGAACAGGUGUUGAAUGCAAAGCUAACAGGGUUCAACUCAAGUAAACAGGUGUGAUGGUCCAAAGACGGAAUUAUCUAUAGAUAAUGGACAUCAUAGGAAAGGUGGACAAUGCUUAAGUGAGACUUGAUGUGCAUAACUUGGAAACAACUGAUCAAACCAAGGAUGGAAACAAGAAGAGCUUCGAGGUACUGAGUGCAUGGGAGAAAGUCAAGGAGACCAGUAACCCAAAGCCAGGGGUGAAGAAGGAGACUUGCGGAAUCAGGGUUGAUCGAGUUAAGAAGAGUUAUGGUGCAUCAAGGAACAUUACAUAAGGACAUGACUUACAACCAAUGAGGUAACAUCUACAAUUAUGUGGUGUAAGUCAUAAGGCUCAAGACCAAGCUCAAAAGGGAACAAGGUCACUGGAAGGAGAACAAAUGUCCAAAUCAGAACCGGAAGCAGCCCAAAAGAGCUAAGUGCACCUUGACCUUUAGUUUGGGUUGUUCCUAUGUUUGGAGAUAUUCUAUGUGACCUUUGCAGGAUGUUGGAGCUCAGAAAUGACAAUCUAGAUCAAGUCAAGCUGACUUGAUGAUUUAUGAGUCCAACAUCAAUCUCAGUCAUGCCAAAUGCUAAAGAAGUGAAAAUCAAAGAGAAGGUAUGUUUCUAGACUUAGUACAUUGGUUUUUGUGUACUAACGUAUUUGUCUAAGUGUUAGAAAUAGAAAUAAGAAGAAAAGAAGAGAAACUACAAAAGGAAAAAGACUUGGCUGGAGCAGCCAAGACUCUACGCAGUCUGGGUGCACCGGACAGUGUCCGGUGCGCCAGGCUGGCGUCUGGUCAACUGGCCGCUCUCGGGAAUUCGUCGACGGCAUUCGGCUAAAAAUCACCGGACUGUCCGGUGGUGCACCGGACUGUCCGGUGAGCCAACGGUCGGCCACGCCAACGGUCGGCCGCGCAAUCCGCGUGUGACGCGUGGACGAGCCAACGGUCUGAUGGGUGCACCGGACUGUCCGGUGGGCACCGGACAGUGUCCGGUGCGCCAACGGCUCCAAGUCUGCAACGGUCGACUGCGCGAAUUUAGGAAAGAGAUCCGCACCGGACAGUGAACAGUGGAUGUCCGGUGGUUCACCGGACUGUCCGGUGCGCCACUCGACUGAAGGCAAGAAUUGCCUUCCUGGAUUGCUUCCAACGGCUUCUAGGCCAUUUGGGCCUAUAAAAGGGACCUCUAGGCGCCUCAAACAGAACACAAGUGCAGCCAACAAGUGUAGACAUCACUCGGAUCAAUUCUCUCUCUCCUUCUUGUGUGAAUCUCUCUAGUUUGUGUAGAAGGCAAAGCUAUAAGCCUUUAGAGAGUGGAGAAGUGCUGCUACGAGCUAGAACAUAGUCUUGAGCAUAUCGUUACUCUGUCGGAGUGCUGCCAAGAAGAUUGUAAGCAGCCGCAGUUUCGUUGUAACCAACUCAACAUAGUGGAAGGCUCUAUCUGUCAUACUGACAGAUUUGAGCAAACGGAGGAAGGAGUUGAAAUAGACUCCAAGCCCAGGUGUGGCUAACUCCAACAAGGACUAGGCAAGCAUUUCAGGCUUGGCCAAACCUCGGGAUAAAUCCCUGUGUCUGUGUGCUUCGCUCUGUAUUGUGUGCUGUCUCUCUGUCUUAUUCACUUUUUAUAUCUACACUUCAACACUUAUCUGUGGUACAAGUUAUAUUUGAAGUGCAGGACAUUUUGAGACAGGAACUUCUAUUUCGCUGCAACCUACUCGAAGGGUCUUUCAUUCCACUGCGAUCUGGUCUUCGAGUAGAGUAAGAACUAAAGUUUUAAAGUGAUAAUUUUUAUUCGCCUAUUCACCCCCCUCUAGGCGACAUCCAGAUCCUGUUUCCGGGCAAAGGGAACUUUCAAUUGGUAUUGGAGCUAGGCCUCUCCAGUGUGGGCUUAGCCGUCCGGAGAUGAUGAUGUUGUCACAAGGGGUAACUGUAGAACUUCUUCUAGGCGAUGGCUCUAAUUAUAAAUCUUGGUCUGUCUCUAUUUAUAAUGCCUUCAUGCGUGUUGAUCCUGAUUUGAGACAGAUCUUUAGUAGAAGUAUUUUUCCCUCCAAUUUUAGUCAAAAACCUUCUAAUGAUGAACUAAGAUGUCUGUCUCUCAAUCACCAUGCUUGCAACAUCUUAGUUGACUCACUUUCUAGAAGUGCCUAUUUUGCAAUCAUGAGUAGUGAUAGUGAUUUAUAUGUUGAUGCUCAUGAUCUAUGGACCAAAAUUAAUUUAAAAUUUUUUAAGUCCAUAUGCACUGCUUCUGCUCCCUCUACUGCUGGUAGUACUUACUUGUCCAAGGGAGAAGAAUGAGAGAGAUGGACACCAAGCGAUGGAUCCACCUCACCGAUAGGUUCAUCUCCCACUUGUUAUACAUGUCGUAUUGCUAACGAUGAGAAUGGAGAUGAAAGCGAUCAUGAGGAGGAAUAUGAGGAUGAGGAGUCUACAUCAUCACAAGGUACAUUUUCCUAUUUUGCUUCCACUGACAAUAGUGACAGGGAAAAUGAGAUCGAUGAUGUAGAAGAAGAGGAGAUUCGCCGUUUCUACACCCAUCUCAACAAAGAAGACAAAGCGCUCUUGGUUAAGCUGUUGAGAAGGAACAAGGCGAGACGCUUCUCAGGCUAGAGGAGACUCUCAUCAAAACCAACGACAGCCUAGAGAAGAUGACCAAAGAACAUGAGGAGCUAAAGUGCUCUCAUGAUGAUUUGGUCCAACGGUAUGAUUCGAUUUUAAUUGAGCAAAGAAAUAAUGAUGAUGCUUUAUCCUGUGUUGCUCAACUUAAAAUGGAAAAUGCCAUGCUUGAGAGGCAAGUAGAAUUGCUAAGUCAUGAUAAACUUUAUCUUACUAAAAAUAUGAUUUUUUGUCUUGUUAUCAUGAUAAUCUCUUGGAUAGACAUAUCAUGCUUGAUGUUGCUCACAAGGUUGUAAUUGCAAACCUAAAUUCAUGUGAACCUCAUUUUUGCACACGUGCACAUCUAGAUAAUAUAUCAUCAUGUGCUAACCCCGGUUGCUCAAAAGAAAGCCAACUCUUGGAUGAGCAUCAAGCUGCAGGAUCAAAAGAAAAAGUGCUCAUCAAAGAAAGGAACAAGAGAACAAAGCAACUAAGGAGAAGACGCAUUGCUCAACCUUCUCAAGAUAUCCACGGGAGCGUGGUGAAGAAGCUUGAGAUGGGAAAAACUGCAGCAAGUGUUAAGCUCCAUAAGAAGGAUGUUCCUAAAGCAAAAAAUGAAGAAAUCAACAUGAACUUGGAAAAAGGUAAAGAUUCAAUUAGUCAUGUUGUUUGCACUGACCAUUUCUCUAUGUCAUCCAAGAACAAAAAGAGAAAAGGGAAAAGGAGGUGCUUUAAGUGCAAUAAGUCAGGACACCUCAUUGCGUUGUGUCCAUACAACGACAAGGAUGAAGGGAUAAGGAGAUGCUUCGGAUGCAAUGACAAGAACCAUACGAUCACUUCUUGUCCGCUAAUGACAAAUCAAGCACGUGCACUCUUCGGGAUAAACCCCACUAAGAAAGAAGACAAACAACAAGCGUCAUGUCAGGUUAAGCGACGCUUCUGCUAUAAGUGUGGUGAGCAGGGUCAUCUAUCCAAGGUAUGUAAAAAGGGUAAGGUUCCUAAGCAAGUAAAUAUAUCUCAAUCUUAUUCACUUAGGAGACCCAAACCAUACACUUGUGCUAGAUCAAUAAUGAGAUCACCUAGAACUAGCACAAUUGCUAUUUGGGUACCAAAAGCUCCUAUGGAUGAUCGUUAUGGACCCAUCCUGAGAUGGGUACCAAAUUGUACCAACUAGACCAUGCAGGUGCCUCGAGAUGAACUGGAGACCAUGGGAGAGCUUAAGAUGGUUAAUUCAAACUCUAUGCUUAAGUUGUCAAUUCUACUAUCUAUUUAUUGACCCAAGGUUGAAUUAUUGUGCAAUACUAAUCCCAUGUUCAUCUUGAGUAAAAUAAGUUGUAGAGGUCUUUGAUCAUUAUUGGUGAAUCAAGCAAAGGACCUUGAUGAGAAUAUGCAACGUGCUCUCCAAAGGACGGUACCCGUGUAUUAUAAGUACAUUAUUGCAAAUCAGUAUUGCUCUGAAGUUUGAUCUGUCCUCGGAGUAGUUAUUCUUUUGAGAUUGCUUGUGUUGAAUACUUUUUGAUCAUUGAUUCAUGAUUUCAAAGAUCACAUUGAUGCCUGUUUAAUCAUGAUUUUGUGUUAUAUCUCUUGAAUCAUUCAAUUAGUAGCUUAUCAUUUGAUAUAUUUACCAUGAUUAACUCUUUAUGUGUUCAUGGAUAAACCUGUAUCCUUUUGUAAGACAUGCUAUUGUCUUUAAUGAUUAACCUAUGUGCAAGCAUGACAUCUUGUUUAGUCCAUGUUCACAUGAUUACCCUAUUUUGGUACUAUGUGUAUACCAAAUCCAUGUUGUGCCUCUAAUGCACCUUCUUGAGCUAUGAAGUGCAUAAGCAAUAGGAGACCUAAAUUGGUGACAACGAGUGCUCUCAUGGCAAGGAAAAGGUAUGGAAAAUGGAACUAUGCAAUCUCAUUGAAAAUCUUGAAGUUCCAUUAAUUGUGAUCAUAGCUAUGUUCUCACCUUUGAAUUGGUAGUAUAUUGGCUUAGGUGCGCUCUCUUUAAAAUGUUGUUUCUAAUCGGUGUACCUAAGAAACCUUCUUAAUCAUGGUGUGCUUAGGCAUUGUAUGCAUGGUCUUGUAGUUUUCAAUUGGUAUAUGUGUUGCAAUGAUCAUCGUGUGUGAAGCGUGCCUAGGUUGCUUGUUAUAUUCCUUGAGGCAUGCAUUGUUUCCACUAGUCAUAAGUUGUAUUAUGUCAUCUAUCCAAUUGGUAUCUCUCUGUGAUGAAAUUGAUAGAUUAUGUCUAGACCAAGAUAUGUUGUGAUCCCCUCCAGUUCUGAGGAUGCUAGAAUGUGCAAAGUACAGGUCAUUCAAAUACUUGUUGCACAACUUUAGGGGGAGCACACAUAACUUGUGUCUUUUGAGACUAAUUGUUUCUUGAGUGAUCUUGUAUAGUCUCAAGGUGAAGAAGGGAAGAUGAGUAAUAAAUGAAGCAAUCAGGACUUGGGUACCUCUGUAAGUCAAGUAUUUGGUAUCUUAAGUUAUGAGAAAUUGCAUAUUUUUAGAUUGCUCGUGCUCUAUAAUAUUUAGUGAUACUAGAUGCUUAUCUUCAAAUAUCAUGGAGCUAUGACAGUAAUGAUCUUUCAAUUAGUAGCCUUGAUAGUAUGCUUAAGUUGAUAUCUCUUGGUAAUCACUAGAAUAUGAACUUCAUCUUGUGUUGCAAUACUAUAACUUGUUCUAAGUUUGGUGUCUUAGCAACAAGAAAAGGUUAGGAAAAAGGAUCAGGCACAAGUGUGGAGGAGCCUCCUAGAGAUUAAACUCUCAAGAUGGAAAGUACAUCACAACAUGGUUAAGGUACAAAAGGAAGUAUUGAUCUUUUGCUCAUAUGUAUCUUAAUUUUUCUCCAAUGCUUGUGGUGCAUAUGUUUAAUGAGUAAGGGGGAGUAUUGUUAGUGUGUUUGGCCUGCUUAAUACCCUGUUGUCCCUUGACAUCAUCCUAUACUCUUGCUUGAAUGUGGUUUUGGUGGUUGAUGUCAAAGGGGGAGAAUUUUGUGCAUUAAAGCUUAGGUUUCCUUGAGUUCCUUGGAUCUUAAGGAAGGAUGUGUUAGUUUGUGGUAUUGAUAAUUCUUAUCAUAUGCUUCUUGUUGUAUUAUAUGGUGAUGAUGCAAAACUAGUGCUUCCGCUGCUAUGAAUUAAUUGGCAUCUAUAGUAGUUAUCCUGUAAUAGAUAUUCAUGUGGGUAAUGGUGCGUGUGGUUAAUGGUGCUUUAAAAUUGCUUUAAAUUGAAUUGCUUUAAAUUGGUAUCUUAAUGGUGAAUAGUGGUAGGUUGAUAUUCCUGUGAUAUAUCCACUCAAUUGAUUGGUGUUUAACUCUGAUUCUGUGCAUUUGUAUGUUAUACGCAUCAUGGUUUGAUACUUGACACAAUGCAUCCCACAUGUGCUAAGGUAUAGUAAUGCUUUGAAUUAGCCUAAGUAUGUGCAAUUUGGCAUAAAGGGCCAAAUUUAAGAUUUUGAUGUAAGCACAUAUUCAGGGGGAGCAUCCUAUAAACUUAGAAUUCAAAAUUUGUGCUUUAAAUUUUAUUCUUAUGUAAGCUUUAAUUGUGUUGCCAUCAAUCACCAAAAAGGGGGAGAUUGAAAGCUCUCUUGUGGGUUUUGGUGUUUGGGAUGACAACCCAAUUAAAGGACUAACAAGUGUGUUAAGUGUUGAACAGGUGCUGAAUGCAAAGCUAACAGGGUUCAACUCAAGUAAAUAGGUGUGAUGGUCCAAAGACGGAAUUAUCUAUAGAUAAUGGACAUCAUAGGAAAGGUGGAUAAUGCUUAAGUGAGACUUGAUGUGCAUAACUUGGAGACAACUGAUCAAACCAAGGAUGAAAGCAAGAAGAGCUUCGAGGUACCGAGUGCACGGGAGAAAGUCAAGGAGACCAGGAACCCAAAGCCAGGGGUGAAGAAGGAGACUUGCGGAAUCAGGGUUGAUCGAGUUAAGAAGAGUUAUGGUGCAUCAAGGAACACUACAUAAGGACAUGACUUACAACCAAUGAGGUAACAUCUACAAUUAUGUGGUAUAAGUCAUAAGGCUCAAGACCAAGCUCAAAAGGGAACAAGGUCACUGGAAGGAGAACAAAUGUCCAAAUCAGAAUCGGAAGCAGCCCAAAAGAGCUAAGUGCACCUUGACCUUUAGUUUGGGUUGUUCCUAUGUUUGUAGAUAUUCUAUGUGACCUUUGCAGGAUGUUGGAGCUCAGAAAUGACAAUCUAGAUCAAGUCAAGCUGACUUGAUGAUUUAUGAGUCCAACAUCAAUCUCAGUCAUGCCAAAUGCUAAAGAAGUGAAAAUCAAAGAGAAGGCAUGUUUCUAGACUUAGUACAUUGGUUUUUGUGUACUAACAUAUUUGUCUAAGUGUUAGAAAUAGAAAGAAGAAGAAAAGAAGAGAAAAUACAAAAGGAAAAAGACUUGGCUGGAGCAGCCAAGACUCUACGCAGUCUGGGUGCACCGGACUGUCCGGUGGUGCACCGGACUGUCCGGUGGUGCAGGCUGGCGUCUGGUCAACUGGCCGCUCCCGGGAAUUCGUCGACAGCGUUCGGCUAAAAAUCACCGGACUGUCCGGUGGUGCACCGGACUGUCCGGUGAGCCAACGGUCGGCCGCGCCAAGGGUCGGCCGCGCAAUCCGUGCAUGACGCGUGGACGAGCCAACGGUCUGAUGGGUGCACCAGAGUGUCCGGUGUGCACCGGACAGUGUCCGGUGCGCCAACGGCUCCAAGUCUACAAUGAUCGACAGCGCCAAUUUAGGAAGGAGAUCCGCACCGGACAGUGAACAGUGGAUGUCCGGUGGUUCACCGGACUGUCCGGUGCACCACCCGACUGAAGGCAAGAAUUGCCUUCCUGGAUUGCUUCCAACGGCUCCUAGGCCACUUGGGCCUAUAAAAGGGACCUCUAGGCGCCUCAAACAGAACACAAGUGCAGCCAACAAGUGUAGACAUCACGCAGAUCAAUUCUCUCUCUCCCUCUUGUGUGAAUCUCUCUAGUUUGUGUAGAAGGCAAAGCUAUAAGCCUUUAGAGAGUGGAGAAGUGCUACUACGAGCUAGAACAUAGUCUUGAGCGUAUCGUUACUCUGCCGGAGUGCUGCCAAGAAGAUUGUAAGCAGCCGCGGUUUCGUUGUAACCAACUCAACAUAGUGGAAGGCUCUAUCUGUCAUACUGACAGAUCUGAGCAAACGGAGGAAGGAGUUGAAAUAGACUCCAAGCCGAGGUGUGGCUAACUCCAACGAGGACUAGGCAAGCAUUUCAGGCUUGGCCGAACCUCAGGAUAAAUCCCUGUGUCUGUGUGCUUCGCUCUGUAUUGUGUGCUGUCUCUCUAUCUUAUUCACUUUUUAUAUCUGCACUUCAACACUUAUCUGUGGUACAAGUUAUAUUUGAAGUGCAGGGCAUUUUGAGACAGGAACUUCUAUUCCGCUGCAACCUACUCGAAGGGUCUUUCAUUCCACUGCGAUCUGGUCUUCGAGUAGAGUAAGAACUAAAGUUUUAAAGUGAUAAUUUUUAUUCGCCUAUUCACCCCCCCUCUAGGCGACAUCCAGAUCCUAUUACCGGGCAAAGGGAACUUUCAAUAAUUUAGAUUAAAGUUGAAUUAAUUACUACCAUAGGUUAUCUUUUCUCUAGGAUUAUAAAAUAAACAUAGAACCUAGUUAAUCAUUUAAUCACAUUAUAACUUGAUGACGUAACUCUGAUUUUAGUGGUUCUCGUUCCCACGAUCUCGUAGCAACGCGUAGAUUAUUAUUAUGAAGUUUGUUCUUAUGUUUGGUGUGAUGUUAAUUUUGUCUAUAACAUGUUUGUUUGUAUUGCUACGACUAGCAGUGAGGUCACAAGGAUAUGAAGAAUCACCUUGGUAACUGGAAUCUCAAGUGCCAAGCAAGUUGUGCCCUUGAUCCACUUUUAUUACCCAAUAAUGUUGUUUAUUAUCACUAUUCAAUGCAUAGGUUUAAUUUUGAUGGGACCCAAUAGGUCGCCCUAGUCUGUUUAUCCUUUUACCUUAUUUAUCCCUGAAUCACUUGGGUAGUUGUGCUAUUGCUCUAUAUGGUUUUGGGAUAAUAUUUCAUUAUAUCCAUGUUCCUAUUAUUCUGUUAUGUUAUUUAUGUUCAUGAUAAGAUCAUUAUGUCAAUGGGAACAUGGAGAACCACCCGGGAAAACAGUGCUACCACAAGGGUUUAAUGGGACGCCCUUGGCUGAUUAACUAGGAAAGCUAGUGGAUGACUACCUUACCCGAAAGGGGCAAGGGCAGUGGUCAGUGUAGGGAGGUCCUUGGGUUGAUUUUGCUGCGAUGGCGAUCAGGCGAGGGAUUCCUGCACUGGAGCUUCCUAUAAACUGUAGCGGGUUUUCUGAAGCUAGUGGAACUUUGUAAAGGCCUCGUAGUGUUACCCUGCCUUGCUUCCUUGGUAGAGGUGUAUGGGAUUCAUGACCCCUUGGCAGAUGGGUAACACGGCUUGUGGGUAAAGAUGCGCAACCUCUGCAGAGUGUAAAACUGGUAUACUAGCCGUGCUCACGGUCAUGAGCGGCUUGGACACUCACAUGAUUAAUUUAUGGAACCUAAACUCAAUUUGUCAUUUCAUUGCAUUGGGAUUAUUUUGUUAUUACUUUUACUUAUUAUUCAUUAUGGUUUGGUAUUUACUUACACUUAGUAACUGCUAAUAAAAUUUUGACCAACUUAUAAAAGCAAUGCUCAGCUUCAACCUUUAUUUUGUUGAUCAGCCUUACACUUCACAUGAACUCCCACCUUUGGUGAGUUCAUGCCACAUUAUUCCCCACAACUUGUUGAGCGAUGAACAUGUGUGAGCUCACCCUUGCUGUCUCACACCCCCCACAGGUCAAAGACAGGUACCACAGGAUGAGGCGCAUGGAAGAUGCUGCGCUAUGUUCAUGAGAGGUCUAGGUCGUCGUCUCCCAGUUGACUUUCUGGCGCCAAGGAUGGAUUUUGGAUCCUGUUAUAUUUAUCUUUUAUUUUUAUAAGUCUUCCGCUAUGUAAUAAAUACUCUGAUUAUAUUGUGACAUUUAUCUCUAUACACUCUGUUAUUAUAUAUGUUGUCUUCUUUGGCGCAUGUAUGAGAUGCACCCGGCUUUGUCCCUUAAAGCCCGGGGUGUUACACAGACUCCGCCUCCACGCAUUUGAUCGAUUAUGUUAGUGAUUUGAGCUCCGUUUGAGUUGCGAACUCUCUAUGCUGUGUUUCGAGCUCAAGUCUUGGCUUGUGUGCGUGUGUGUUCUGCUGAUUUGGGUCUUGUGUGUGUUGCUCUCCCAUCCUUACUCUUGUGCUUUCUCUGUGAUCUAUAUUGUAAGGGCGAGAGGCUCCAACCUGUGGAGAUUCCUCGCAAACGGGAAGUAUACUCAAAAGAGAAAAGACCGUGGUAUUCAAGUUGAUCUUUGGAUCACUUGAAAGGGGUUGAGUGCAACCCUCAUCCAUUAGGACGUCACAACGUGGAAGUAGGCAAGUAUUACUUAGCUGAACUAUGGGAUAAAAAUCGCGUGUCUCUUGUGUCGCUUUUCUUGUUAUUGUUUGUUCAUAAGAGAUCGUCUCAUAGCCACUUGAUUAACUAGCGCUAACAUUUCUAUAUUCUAGUUUGUGGCUAUUUAGUGUUUGAUUUUACACGAUCACCUAUUUACCCCCCUCUAGGUGCUCUCAAUUGGUAUCAGAGCCGUACUCUUCACUUAAAGGUCUAACUGUCCAAAGAGAUGGAUCCUAAGGGUAAGGGGAUGGUGGUCAACGACAAGGAGAAGGAGUCCCUCUUCAACAAGCCAAGAGACGACAAGCCCACUGACUCAGGCUCGAGUCACAAGAAGAGGGACGAGAAGAAGAAGAGGCGCAUCAAGAAGAUCAUCUACUACGACAACGACGCCUCCUCUUCUUCACCAAGGGACGACGACGACGACAAUGACUCCUCGUCCAAGAAAAAGACAGUUAAUCAAAAUCAUUCUUUUGAUUAUUCUCGCAUUCCCUAUAAUUCAAAUGAGCAUUUACUAUGAAUUCCCCUUGGAAAACCUCUGUGGUAGCCCUCCCAAGUUAUCGGGCCCACGUGCACCAAUCCUUGCCUUGAUGGCCUCAGAUGGCUAUGCACGUGUACCAGGUAACUUAACAAGGCUAUCACGAGUUCAACAACUUGAACUCAUCAUCCUAAGGAUCUCCCACCAUACAUGCAUAUUACAGUAAUCACAUUCGAUACACACACACUUCGGAGAUAAGAGCGGAAGACUUUACAAAACAUUCUUUUUAUUUCUAAAACUGAAGGUUACUACAUAGAAAGAGUUACAUUUAUUACAAGUCCUGAUAUACUCAAAGUGCAUAACUUAUUACAAUAGCAGGAAGGUAGGAACCCUCCAAAGCCUAUACACAAGCCUAACUAAUCUUCCUCCAGAACUGGAAACGCCCUCCAGCCACAGGAACACCUAGAGUACUCCUCAUCACCUACAACAACAUGGGUUCAAAACCCUGAGUACGGAGUGUAUUUUCACAAGUCUUACCCGACUAAGGAAAAAGACUCUCAAGGAUAUGCUGGUUAAAUAGGAAUCAAGGAAAAGGCUUUAGCAAGAAUCAAAUUAGAUACUUUUGCAGAAAUAGCUUACUAAAGUGAGUCCUUACUUUCAAUAUUUUAAUGCCAAAUUAAAUAUUAAUAGACUCUAGUUGCAUCUAGUCAAAUUUCACCAUCUCAUCAAUACAACAUCAUUUUUAUUCAUAAUGUUUACAUCCUGACCUAGGUUGCAGGUCAGAGAUCAAGUCUCCACUCUCCGGGGAUAUAACGGCGAUCCGAAUCGAUUUACUCAGCUGAGGAUCUCUAACCACAUGACAUAUGUUUCUCGUAACUCUUGCAUAUGUCUACCAUUCCCACGGAUCCUCCACUGCAUGAACAGGUCCGCGCCACCUGAGAGCACACCACCCCUUUUAGGCGGUCCUUUGCCAGGAGGGUACGUGCCACUCUCGCCAUCUCUCCACUCCCAGUGCGCGAUUGUCUUUUCAUGUAUGGAAUAGCCGGGUUCAAGCUUACCCUGUCCCAUAUCCAGGGCAUGUGGCCAGUUAAGAUAGUCCUUGAUCAUACAGGCCUACAUACGCAUCCAAUCCUUAAUUAACCUGGGUGGAGCAUCACCUGUUCCUAGCCCAAGUCUCGAUUUAAGUACUUCCAUCCUUAGGAUUGUUUUGGGUUCCUUAGGAUGAAAAGAGCAUUAUAAGGAACUUUGCAGUAAGAUCCCACCAUACGCUCCCAAUGAAAAUAUUCUUGCAGGUAGAAGCCAUCCUUCCUCAGGAUAACCCCUGAGCUAGGCAUUAUUUCAAAAGACAACCUCUAUUCACAAGAUCUAAGCAGGGCUAAGCAUUUUUGUAAAUCAUAUUUUGAUACUCCAUCAGGAGUAUCUAUAAAGGCAUGGAUAUCAAGGUAGGCAAUGCAUCAAAUAGUUUCCAAGCAACUCCUAUAAACUUAAUGCACAUUUCACUAGACUUAAAGUGUAUAAAAGUCAUUUAAAAUACAAGGAAGGGGCAAAUGCACCGGGGCUUGCCUUAUUGCAGUGAAGAGGUUCUAGAUCUUCUACCCAAUAACCAGUUAGAUAGCUCCAUCCACUUGAUGAACAGGCACUGGAGAAAACUCCUCUUCCACGACCACUUCAUCUUUAAUUUACACUCCUUCUGCUGGGAGCUCUACAUGAAAUGAUAUGAACAUGAAUGCUUAUGCUUCUUGCAAAUAAAAUACUAUAAAACAUCACAAGACUUACACCUCUUUAAAUAGCACACAAAAACUAACAAAACCUUAAGAGAGCUAAAUACUCUAAUAUCACAACUCAAUCAUACUAGGGUAGCCAGCAAGGAUGAGGUGAUAUUCUUCAUUUACUCCAAUAUAGACACUAGUUUACUAAACCAGCCAUCACAGCUGCACUACACCCACAUACACAUGCAAAACACAGGGAGAGAGUGAUCUUCUUCAGUCAAUCAACCAGACACUGAAUCCACCUCUAAUACCCAAUUGUAUAUGUCCCUGUUCAGCCCCACUUUUUCCUUGUUUCUGCUAGGGACAGACCAUACCAAACCUGUUCACUAACUAAAGCUCUUCAAGUUUGUUACAAGAAUCUAAGACCCAAACUGCAUGUACUACAAGUUAAGGUGUCCAAAAUUCAGCCACCUUCCACUAAAUUUGUUUUUAGUUUUCUGAAACAGACAUCUCACACAGACUGACAGAAGAAAUUUCGGCACAUUUUACUCUAAAUUUUAUACAGCUCCAAACUUAUUUCUCUGUAAGAAACUUGUUCACCCAACACAUCUACAAAUCUCUUCUAUAAGGUCUUUAGCUUAUAACCAUACAUAUCAAGCGUUAGGGUGCAUUAAAGUUGAGCAAACACACGGAAAAUCCAUUUUCCCAAUCUGAAACAGCACAUUACUAGGUCUGACAGAGAGUUUUGUCACUCCUUUUUCUCCAAAUUCUACACAGUAGCAAGCCAACACUUUGCAUGAGACUUGCCCUCCUUUACAUGGUCUUUCACUUUGCUAUAGCAUUCUUACCCCAAUUCUUCUUGGAUUAAUUACCACAAGGACCCAAAUUUGAAUAAAAACACACAAAUUCAGACUUAAAUAUUAUUCUAAGUCUGAAUCCCAACUCUUGACAGUCCACCUUUUGGCCACUUUUACUCCCAAAUUUAUGUGGAACCAAGUCCACCUCACUUUAUAAAACUUGCUCUCUUUACUAUGGUCUCCAACUUUGCUAUGGAAACUUUAAUCCAAAACCCCAUGAAUCAGUCACUAAUGAACUCCAAACUAGGCAUCCUGUUGCAAUUCAGUUCUCAGAACUGAAUAACAAAAUUCAGUUAUGUACAGUCUGACGGUCCAACUUUAGCCAACCUUUUCUCUAAUUUUUACACAGCAACAGACCAAGCCCACAUUACCAAAAUUAUUCCUUAGAUAUAGCUCUACUAUUUUGGUAUAGCACCCUAGGUUGAAAACAUUCAGAACAAUUUUUAUGAAGCACCAAAGUAGAGCCAAAACCACUGCAACUCCAUUUUUAGUGUUCUGAAUCAGCAUUCAUUAAGUCUGAUAGAGAAGAUUUGGACAUGUUUUACUCCCAAUUUUGUGUAGCACCAAGCCCAUGUCCCUUUAGUAAUUUUGUUCAUCUUACUACGGUCUUCGAACUUGCUAUGGAACUUUGGCCCAAAACAAAAUAUACUGGGCACAAUAGAGCUCCAAAGUCGAGCUCAACACACUAAAACCUAGUUUCAGCCUUCUGCACUAAGUCUGUGAUCCAGAAACCUGAAAGCCUAUCUUUGAACAAAUUUUACACCUAGCUCCCAGCAACAGACAAUGGUAGAGUACAAGUAGUAAAUGGUGUGAGCUUCACUGACCUUUGCCGAGCAUGGAACAAGUAGUACACAACCAAGAAUACUUGUGGGAAACCUUGUCCACGGGGAGGUGAAGAACGGGUGGGUUUGGUCACCACAGACAAGAGGUUGGCAUUUAGCUCUGGGGUAAAGCAAACUUGGUGGCUGAGAAAGGUUUACACCUGCUGAACACAGGGAUUCCAAUCCUUUGUAGUGGUCUGAGGAUAGAGCUUGAGAAUUGGAGACAACCUUCACUGAACUAGGCCUUUUAAGGCUGCUGAACUGGGCAGAUGUCCCUGAACUGGACCAACAUGCUGUGGAGGGUUACUUCGCAAGUUGCCAGCAAUAUAGGAGCUAGCCAACGUGGCUUUCAUGCAUCCACUGCACCAAGUUCACAGCCCCCAAUUUAACACCGAAUCUAGUCAGCUAACACACAAAUAUCCCUUGUGGAUAUGCUCUAACAGCCCAAAAUAUCAACCUUAUUCAGUGAACACAGACAGGCAGGC